rnacentral:piRNA from 1 species
UCCAUCUUUUGGAAAAAUUGC